rnacentral:rRNA from 1 species
AACGAACGCUGGCGGCAUGCCUACACAUGCAAGUCGAACGAGACCUUCGGGUCUAGUGGCGCACGGGUGCGUAACGCGUGGGAACCUGCCCUUAGGUUCGGAAUAACUCCCCGAAAGGGGUGCUAAUACCGGAUAAUGUCGUCGGACCAAAGAUUUAUCGCCUUUGGAUGGGCCCGCGUUGGAUUAGCUAGUUGGUAGGGUAAAAGCCUACCAAGGCGACGAUCCAUAGCUGGUCUGAGAGGAUGAUCAGCCACACUGGGACUGAGACACGGCCCAGACUCCUACGGGAGGCAGCAGUGGGGAAUAUUGGACAAUGGGCGAAAGCCUGAUCCAGCAAUGCCGCGUGAGUGAUGAAGGCCUUAGGGUUGUAAAGCUCUUUUACCCGGGAUGAUAAUGACAGUACCGGGAGAAUAAGCUCCGGCUAACUCCGUG